rnacentral:rRNA from 1 species
CCAAUAGCGUAUAUUAAAGUUGUUGCAGUUAAAAAGCUCGUAGUUGAAUUUCGGGACCAUCAUGUUGGUCGUGCCUCGGUACGUACUGGCAUUGUUGGUUUCUCUCUUCUGACGAACCAUGAUGUCAUUUAUUUGGUGUUGUGGGAAAUCAGGACUGUUACUUUGAAAAAAUUAGAGUGUUUAAAGCAGGCUCACGCUUGAAUACAUUAGCAUGGAAUAAUGAAAUAGGACGUUUGAUUCUAUUUUGUUGGUUUCUAGGAUCGAUGUAAUGAUUAAUAGGGAUAGUUGGGGGCAUUAGUAUUCAAUUGUCAGAGGUGAAAUUCUUGGAUUUAUUGAAGACUAACUACUGCGAAAGCAUUUGCCAAGGAUGUUUUCAUUAAUCAAGAACGAAAGUUAGGGGAUCGAAGACGAUCAGAUACCGUCGUAGUCUUAACCAUAAACUAUGCCGACUAGGGAUCGGAUGAUGUUAAUUUUUUAAUGACUCAUUCGGCGCCUUACGG